rnacentral:ncRNA from 2 species
GCACCGCCACAACAUGUAUGCUCGCUCUCGCUGUCGAAGCAGGGGAACCCGGUGCGAAUCCGGGACUGCCCCGCAGCGGUGAGCGGGCGGCUCCCCCAAGCGCCCGUAAGUCCGAUGACCUGCCGACGGUGUGCCACACGG